CACUGGUGGGGGUUUAUCCGUCGAUAGAACUCGGGAACGUUGCGAAGGCUCGACCGUCGGAGAGGUUCGAAAAGAUGUCGCCGAAGGUCGGACGUUGGUAGAAUCCCUGGAGGGUCACUCCUGACACGAACUUUGGCUAGGGGGUACUUUAUACCCAACACCAGUCUCCCUACUUUCGAGUUCGAGUUUCGAAUGAAGAAAGUACAGAGAAAUUUUCACAGCUGAAGUUGCUCCCUUGAAUCCUGUGCACGACC
rnacentral:lncRNA from 1 species